rfam:Gossypium raimondii Chr08_contig_1321, whole genome shotgun sequence.
UAUUAAAAGUUUCAUUCAUUUGUAUUGUUAAAACUAAUGUGACUGACAGAAUAACCAAAUAGUAACAUAUGACAUGCUAUGUAUAUUUCAUAUUGACGUAUAGAAACCCGUUUUUUAACAGCAACAAUAGAUAAAAUUUUCUCUA